GAUAGACAAAUUUCUCUCACAAAAGGUUAUGAGAACUUCUUAACAAAAGGUCAAGAAGAAAAUGGGAAUGAUACGGUCUUGUUGGGGAAAUGAUUUUCUCGAACAACAGGUAGCAACAACUCCAUAGCACAAGAGAAGGGGUCUUCCAAACAAAAGGUUAAGAAGAAAGAAUGUCGAAUUUCUCAUACAGAAGGCAGUGAGAAC
rnacentral:lncRNA from 1 species